rnacentral:rRNA from 1 species
UGGAAACGACUGCUAAUACCGCAUAAGCCCACGGUACCGCAUGGUACUGAGGGAAAAGGAUUUAUUCGCUUUAGGAUGGACUCGCGUCCAAUUAGCUAGUUGGUGAGGUAACGGCCCACCAAGGCGACGAUUGGUAGCCGGACUGAGAGGUUGAACGGCCACAUUGGGACUGAGACACGGCCCAGACUCCUACGGGAGGCAGCAGUGGGGGAUAUUGCACAAUGGGGGAAACCCUGAUGCAGCGACGCCGCGUGGAGGAAGAAGGUUUUCGGAUUGUAAACUCCUGUCGUUAGGGACGAUAUUGACGGUACCUAACAAGAAAGCACCGGCUAACUACGUGCCAGCAGCCGCGGUAAAACGUAGGGUGCAAGCGUUGUCCGGAAUUACUGGGUGUAAAGGGAGCGCAGGCGGGAAGACAAGUUGGAAGUGAAAACCAUGGGCUCAACCCAUGAAUUGCUUUCAAAACUGUUUUUCUUGAGUAGUGCAGAGGUAGAUGGAAUUCCCGGUGUAGCGGUGGAAUGCGUAGAUAUCGGGAGGAACACCAGUGGCGAAGGCGGUCUACUGGGCACCAACUGACGCUGAGGCUCGAAAGCAUGGGUAGCAAACAGGAUUAGAUACCCUGGC